ensembl:lncRNA
GUUCAAAUAUAUGGAUUAGAAUUACUCUUACUCGGUGCACAACAAUUGGAAACUCAAUUGAGCUGCUCUGUUGCAGCAACAUGCUGAGGCUAUGAUAUUUAAAUAACCAAAGUACAGGGUGGAAAGAAGAAGUUAUGCAAAAUAAACAGAGUGCCAAACUAUUACUUUAUGAGCUGCUCUUCUGGGAAACAGGCUUAGUGCUGGUGAUAGUUCUUUCAGGGAAAUGAGUGUGUGGAGGGUUAAUGAUAAAACUGGAUGCAGCUGGAUGCUAUUGCCAGUAACAUUGCACACCUCUGCACUAAAUAAACUUCUGAUAGAGAAGUGCUCUUUUCUGUUUUGUUGGGGUUUUUUUGGUGUUCUUUUGGGGCUUUUUUUUUUUUUGUGUGUGUGGUUUUUUUUUUGGUUUUUUUGUUUUGUUGUUGUUGUUUUUUAUGACUUGGCUGUUGGCAAAAACCAUGAAAGGAGCCACGGCAUACACAGAAAUGAGCCACACACCACAGGGAGUCAUCUACACAUUGAGUUUGAUGGCUGAAGGAUGCUAAUGCUUUGUAUCAACAUUUCAUCACCAGCUAGUUCAUGGAUUUGAUUUCUGCACCUCAGUUUCCUGUCCUCAAAACAAGGUAAUAUCACCAUAUUCCCCACUAGAAUAGUUGUAGUAAGUGCUUCCACAUUAAUGAAACACUGGGCUACCCUCAUCAUGAACUUCUUACAAAAGCCUUUAAGAGAUUAAUCAUAGCUUCUGUUCAGAAAUAAGGUUUAAAUUGUAUGAAGUAAGUAAAGCCUUGGGUCACACACUGAAUAAUGAGGGUAAAAGAAAAUAUUGAUCAUCAUAUUGAUCACUAAGUGAGUAUCAUACAUUCAUGGCCUGUAGAGAGGCUGAGGUUCUGUGGAAAGUAUGUUGUGUAAUAGUGUAAUUAAAGAUUAUAACAUAAUGCAUAUAUAUGAGUGAUAAAACUAAAAUUGCAGUAGGAAUCUCAAAUUCAACAUUUUUGAGCAAUUGAGCACUCAACCUAAUAAGUUAUUUUAACAUAUAUUUGUGGGUAUGUACAAUAUAGGUAUAGGCAGCAUUUAAUUGUGCAUUUAAAUUAUGGACUUCAGAGAAGGAAAUUUUAAGAGUAUUUUUAAAGUGUAUUUUCUUUGUUAAAUGUGUAGCCAUAAAUGGGUCCUUCCCAACAGAACAUAACAAUGGGGUUGAAAUCAAUGGAACUAAAGUAUUAUAUCAUUGCAUCACAGAGUGAUGAAACACUCUGUGUUUCAGAGUGAAAUACAUAGGUACUAUGAAAUACUAUGAAAUACAUAGAUUCCUUAGAGAUUUUUUGACAACUGGUGGUCUGAUGCCAUGUCUUGUCACCAAAUAUAUUUUUCUCACCUUCAAACUAUAGAUUUGGUCAAAAAGAAAAACUAAAUGACAUGCAAAUUCUGCAGCCUACACAUCAGAAUUUUCCUCCAUCUAUCUAAUGUGGCCACAUAGACUGACAUCACAAGAGUCCUUCUGGGACAACGACUAUUGCGAUAAACAGGAUGAAGAUAAUUUUAAUGAGAUCUACUCGAGAUACUCUUUUUGUCUUCCACACCAUUGACAAAUAUUCAGGACUUGAACUGACAGUUUUAAUACUGCAAGAAAAUUCAUAAUUUCAGACAACCAGAUGCAGUCCCUUAGCUACUAACUAUUUUGUUGUAUCUUGAUGGAGGGAGGAGGAAAAGAAAGAACACAUGCUAAUUAUUGGCAGCUGUUGCUGUUCUUUUACUAAUUGAGUCAAAAACAUUAACACAAUAGUGAGCAGAAGAAGAGGAAAUGAAACUUUUAGAAGUCAUGCUUACCUUUGGUUAUGCAAAACCUUGAUGGAUUUUCUUUUUACUUUUUAUUUUGUUCCCACAAAAGAAAAUAAAAAUUAAAUGUAGAUCUAGAUUUUUAAAACA